AUCUGGGUAAACUGUUAACCAUUCUUGGUUAAUCAAACAUCUGUCUAGUCGAGCCAUUAUUUUUCUGUUACCAUCGCCUUGAUUACUCCAGGAGAGCCAAUUGCCCACAGAUUUCAUAUCAAUCAAUGCAGCAGUGUUUAUAUAAUCAUUAAAUCUUUGAAGCUGACUUUCAGAAUGCUGUCUACCCCCCACUUUUUCAUUUGUGUAUCGAACAGUAUUAAAGUCACCAAGAACAAUCCACGGCAUAUUAAGACAGUUAUUUGCAAUGUUAGUCAG
rnacentral:lncRNA from 1 species